CCUACGGGUGACUGCAGUGAGGAAUAUUGGUCAAUGGACGAGAGUCUGAACCAGCCAAGUAGCGUGAAGGAUGACUGCCCUAUGGGUUGUAAACUUCUUUUAUAAAGGAAUAAAACGAGGCACGUGUGCCUUUUUGCAUGUACUUUAUGAAUAAGGAUCGGCUAACUCCGUGCCAGCAGCCGCGGUAAUACGGAGGAUCCGAGCGUUAUCCGGAUUUAUUGGGUUUAAAGGGAGCGUAGAUGGGUUGUUAAGUCAGUUGUGAAAGUUUGCGGCUCAACCGUAAAAUUGCAAUUGAAACUGGAAGUCUUGAGUACAGUUGAGGUAGGCGGAAUUCGUGGUGUAGCGGUGAAAUGCUUAGAUAUCACGAAGAACCCCGAUUGCGAAGGCAGCUUACUAAACUGUGACUGACAUUGAUGCUCGAAAGUGUGGGUAUCAAACAGGAUUAGAUACCCCUGUAGUC
rnacentral:rRNA from 1 species